rnacentral:rRNA from 1 species
UGUCACUCGUGGCUUGACGGGUACGGGGAUUAGGGUUCGAUUCCGGAGAGGGAGCCUGAGAAACGGCUACCACAUCUAAGGAAGGCAGCAGGCGCGCAAAUUACCCAAUCCUAAUACAGGGAGGUAGUGACAAGAAAUAACAAUACAGAACCUUACGGUUUUGUAAUUGGAAUGAGUUAAGUAUAAACCCCUUAACAAGUAUCAAUUGGAGGGCAAGUCUGGUGCCAGCAGCCGCGGUAAUUCCAGCUCCAAUAGCGUAUAUUAAAGUUGUUGCAGUUAAAAAGCUCGUAGUUAAUCUUCUGUUAAUUUUUAUAUAUAAUAUCUCGAUAUUUAUAUAAUAUUAACAUAAUUCAUAUUACUUUUUAGUAUAUGAAACUUUACUUUGAGAAAAUUAGAGUGCUUAAAGCAGGCUAUUGCCUUGAAUACUCCAGCAUGGAAUAAUAUUAAGGAUUUUUAUUCUUCUUAUUGGUUCUAGAAUAAAAAUGAUGAUUAAUAGGAACAGUUGGGGGCAUUUGUAUUUAACAGUCAGAGGUGAAAUUUUCUUAAAAA